CUAAGGAUAAGCAAAUCGAGGUAAACUAUAUUUAAAAAGUAAUAGUCUACCAAAGAACAGAAUGUGAAACCAAAAUGUAACGAUGAUCAAUAAGGCAAAUAAUAGAUGGGGUGGCGAUUCCUCCACAUCAGCACAUACUUUUAAUUCAGUUUUAAGCAAAAUCUCAUUAACUCUUUUUAACUAGACAAAACGUGUCUACCAGUUGUAUGGAAAAGUGAAGGAGUGAGGUCUGACAAGGUACUUGUGAUAAUGAAAAUUAGUGACCAGGACUCUGUGUACGUAUUCUUAGAACUUCCUGUGAAGCUACAGUGUAGAAUGACCAUAAGAUGGACAAACGCAUUAAUUCGAUUAUAUACAAGUUAACAAGCUUCAUCUUUGAAGGGAAAAAAACCCGAACAAAAUUAAAAAAUAAUAUUAAUUAUAUUGUUGUUUAGUCACUAGGUCAUGUCUUACUCUCUGUGACCCCUCGGACUGUAGCCCGUGAGGCUCCUCUGUCCGUGAGAUUUCCCAGCAAGAACACUGGAGUGGGUAGCCGUUUCCUUCUCCAAGGGAUCUUCCUGACCCAGGGACCAAACCCCUUUCUCCUGCACCGCAGGCGGAUUCUUUACCACUGAGCCAUCUGGGGAGCCCGGUAUUAAUUUUAAUAAGUGUCUGGAGCUGAGAUCUUCCACGUUGCCAAGGUCCUCGUGCAUUCGGGGAGAAGCCUGCGGCUCCCGGGGGGGCAGGAUGGCCUGCUGCCUUAGCAUCACUCCCUGGCCCAGAGCCUCCGGGUCAGCCAGAGACUCGAGUGAGGAGCCAUUCACUUGAUGCUUCUGGCCAAUUCCCAGCUCUGCUUCCGGCGACGCGGGGUUAACCCCGAGAUGGUUGCCAGGGUUCCCAGAGCCGCUGCCGCCGGCCAGCCACUUGGAACCUUCCGGACCCCGUGAAAGGUGAGGGGCGUGUCCAGCAGGCGCAGCCCGUCUCGCGGAGCCUUGCAGGACGUCUGCUGUCCUGUCCCCAGCCCCCACGUGUCUGCUCCAGAAUCUGUAG
ensembl:lncRNA